rnacentral:rRNA from 1 species
UACGUAGGUGGCAAGCGUUGUCCGGAAUUAUUGGGCGUAAAGCGCGCGCAGGUGGUUUCUUAAGUCUGAUGUGAAAGCCCACGGCUCAACCGUGGAGGGUCAUUGGAAACUGGGGAACUUGAGUGCAGAAGAGGAAAGUGGAAUUCCACGUGUAGCGGUGAAAUGCGUAGAGAUGUGGAGGAACACCAGUGGCGAAGGCGACUUUCUGGUCUGUAACCGACACUGAGGCGCGAAAGCGUGGGGAGCGAACAGG